rnacentral:rRNA from 1 species
UAAUACGUAGGUGGCAAGCGUUGUCCGGAUUUAUUGGGCGUAAAGGGAGCGCAGGUGGUUUCUUAAGUCUGAUGUGAAAGCCCACGGCUUAACCGUGGAGGGUCAUUGGAAACUGGGAAACUUGAGUACAGAAGAGGAAUGUGGAACUCCAUGUGUAGCGGUGGAAUGCGUAGAUAUAUGGAAGAACACCAGUGGCGAAGGCGACAUUCUGGUCUGUUACUGACACUGAGGCUCGAAAGCGUGGGGAGCAAACAGGAUUAGAUACCCUGGUAGUCCACGCCGUAAACGAUGAGUGCUAGGUGUUGGAGGGUUUCCGCCCUUCAGUGCCGCAGUUAACGCAUUAAGCACUCCGCCUGGGGAGUACGACCGCAAGGUUGAA